UUUUUUUCUUUUUAUUUGAGCUGUGUUGUGUGUGUUGUGAACUCUUUUCUUCAAUGCUUGCAAGCCAACAUUGCCAGAAUCAUCAUCUCUGUCUCAGUAACCAAAGUACCUGAUUAUCAAGAGGAUAUAAUCAACUAAUACAAGAAAUGUUUUACCUGUGAGUAAUGGGUGUCCAAGUCAACAGCAGCCCGUUGCUCAGGAGUCUUUGCUUUCAAGAAACGGAAAGCGACAGAGAAUGUUCGUCGGUCAAGCUGAUGAAAAGAAGGGGAGAAAAAGGAAAGAUAAUGAGGAUUUUAGCUAUUCUAACUACGUUCGUGGACAUAAAUUGAAAAUCAUGGUAAAAGCCUAUAAAACUUAUAUGCCAUGGAUCAGAUUGGAUAUAUCAUAACUCAACGUCAAAUACAGAUUUGUGAACAUAUAAACAAUUGAUGAGUCUACAAAUUACCCAUUUUCCCCCAAUAGCUAAGAUUUCUGUACUUUUCUUUUCUCUUUCUUCCCUUUGCCCUAGUUGUAAAGAAAAUUAUUAUAGUUCAUAAACCUGUUUCUUUCAACCCAGCAAAUGGGGAAGUUUAUAGAAUUUUUAAUGCCACAAAAAAUUUCUCUGGCAAGUUUGGUCA